GACGAACGCUGGCGGCGUGCUUAACACAUGCAAGUCGAACGGAAAGGCCCUGCUUUUGUGGGGUGCUCGAGUGGCGAACGGGUGAGUAACACGUGAGUAACCUGCCCUUGACUUUGGGAUAACUUCAGGAAACUGGGGCUAAUACCGGAUAGGAGCUCCUGCUGCAUGGUGGGGGUUGGAAAGUUUCGGCGGGUGGGGAUGGACUCGCGGCUUAUCAGCUUGUUGGUGGGGUAGUGGCUUACCAAGGCUUUGACGGGUAGCCGGCCUGAGAGGGUGACCGGCCACAUUGGGACUGAGGUACGGCACAGACUCCUAGGUGAGGCAGCAGUGGGGAGUAUUGCACAAUCGGCAGAAGCCUGAUGCAACAACGCCGCGUGCGGGAUGACGGCCUUCGGGUUGUAAACCGCUUUCGCCUAUGACGAAGCGUGAGUGACGGUAAUGGGUAAAGAGGCACCGGCUAACUACGUG
rnacentral:rRNA from 1 species